rnacentral:lncRNA from 1 species
CCAGGUAUUGGAAUCUUAACUCAUUGAUGUUAUUUAAGUUGGCAAAAGCACGAAAGUAUUAUCUUGCAUUGUAUUUAAUCCUCAAAUGAUUUUUAAAAAGUAGUUAAGUAAAAAUAAUCUUAAUCAUAACUUUAUAUUUAUAAAAUAAAAUAAAAUCAGAGUGAUGCAAAAUCAAAACAAUACUAAAAUAAUAUUACAUUGGUUCUUUUUUCCAGAUAUGUGUUUUUAAAACUUUUUACCAAUAAUUUGAUUUAGUAUAUUUUAGUUCAACAACACCAAUCUACAUCUUUUUAUUUUUUAUUGUUGAAAAUAUCAACCCAAAAAAAUUCAAUAUUUUACUACCCAUCUAUUAUAGGAGUUGGGAAAUUUACGGAGGUUUUAUUAACCUUAUUGAUUCCUCUUGAUAACAACUCAAUCUGUGUUAACUAAUUUAUAAUCCAAAAGCAUUACCAAAGUUUGGUAACACUAAAUUUGCAUGAUACAUGGAAGAAUGCACUCUGUGUAAUAAAAGUGUGAAUUUGUCUGCACAUUGAGAGACACAUUGAGGCAUAUUAUUGUUUUAUAUCAUUGAGCACUCAAUAUGACCUUUUAUUACAACAUUAAUAAAUAUUUCAAUAAACCAAUUCUCCAAUAAUUAAAAUAAAACAAAAGAUUCGAACCAAGGUGAUUUUUGUUGCAUAUCUUCACUUUUGUUUAAAAUAAUAAUAAAAUAUAUAUAUAUAUAUUUAUAAGUUAUUUUUCAUUGCUUGUUAAAGAUGGGUAUUGUCAAAAGAGCAAAUUCAACUUCUCUAUGGUCAUAAGCAAGUGGGGUCCCAUCUUUCACAUUAUAAAUUUUGAAUGUAGAUCAUACAACAUACUCAUGGGUUUGUUAUUUUAACCCUUACAAUGAUUUAUUUGAUAAGAAGAAUAGUUAUUGAAUAAAGUAAGAGGAAAAUUCUUCCAAUUUAUUGAAGCUUAUUAAUUUCAUCAAUAUGAUUUGUGUCCAUAUUUAAAUUUCUUUUGUCUGGAUCUUGUAAGCAACAUUUUAUUAACAUUACUGGACAUAAAAUCUAAAAAGCAGUGAAUUACAGCUUUUGAAAUACACUGACAUGAUCGAGUCAUCUGAGACCUUCUUUCUUCUUAAAGAAUUUGCCAAUUUCAAUGUUUUCUUUGUAGCAUUUUAAGAAAAUUCAUGUUCAAUUAGGUUCCAACAUAUCUCAUAAGAUUCUAGUGGUGCCAUUCCAUCAUGCCUCAAAGAUCAAAAUAAAACAAUAUAUAAAUAAAUUUGCAACACUUAAUUAUUGUAGAAAUAACAAGAC